rnacentral:rRNA from 1 species
UACGAGGGGUGCAAGCGUUGCUCGGAAUUAUUGGGCGUAAAGGGUAGGUAGGUGGUCUCAUUUGUCAGGGGUGAAAGCCUUGGGCUUAACCUAAGAAGUGCCCCUGAAACGGUGAGACUGGAGUCCUGGAGAGGGUCGUGGAAUUCCCGGUGUAGCGGUGAAAUGCGUAGAGAUCGGGAGGAACACCGGUGGCGAAGGCGGUUCUCUGGGCCUGUACUGACGCUGAGGAGCGAAAGCGUGGGGAGCGAACAGG